AUAUUCAUCAAUUACAAUUAU
ensembl:piRNA 21ur-3060 ncRNA